UCCAGUUACCACUGAGUUGGUCACCCAUGAUUUUGCCACCUUACCACACAUAUUGUUUUUAUCUUAUUUGUUCCCUCUUCCAGACUCCACACAUAGUUUUUCCAGAAUCUUAAUCCCACCGUGGAUUGAAUCUGGUGUUCUAAAUAUUCACGGUUGAAUCAUGAAAACUCCAUAUGGACCCAUGUUGUACUCCUACUUGUCACUUCCAAUAGAGUCUCCUGUCUCCAGGAUGAGGAAUGUCUUGCAUUAAAAUCUUCAGGCCAACCACAAGCCCAAGAAAGUCACUCCCAAAUAAGUCCUGUAAACAAGUGGUGGCAACAGAAAUUGACCAUGUAGCUCAGAGAAGCCCAGCCAUGACACAGCUUAUUCUCUAGUCGCUUAAAUCCUGCCUGCCCCUAGAAUGUUCCGUCUGCUUUGGGACUGCCAUGGAGGGGAAAGUUCAGGCUGUGUUGGUCAGCAACCAAAUACCUGAACGGUGGUUUGUUUUACAUCUAACUUGCUGUAAUAUGACAGUGCCACACGCAGGUUAAAUAAUACCACUGAUGGGAUUGCCACUGUAGGUAACCUUGAAGCUUACCAGUGAUGACGCUGGAAGCUGUGUUUGAAGUAGUUCAGAAACUGGCCUUUGGGUCUGACAUCUUGGAUCCCAGCUCCACUCCCUACCAUAUGUAUGACUUCGGGCUAAUCGCUUAAUCUUGUUGCCUCUUUCCUCUCUAUUUUCAUUAUUGGCCAUAAUUAUUUUUCUUACUCUAAUUGUCUUGUGUUCUGGUGCUUUUCACAUUGGAUUUAGUGGCCAGCUUCUUAGUACUGAGGCAACAAUUGCCUCCCAAAUCACUUUUCUCCAACUUAAACACAUGUUCUGCCCACCUGGCUACUUGAUCUUCUCCACCCCUCUCCCCUAAACAGUUAAUAAUUCUGCAACAGAAUAUGAAUUCUCUGAUUUUACUGGAAUUCCAAAUAUUAUCAUUGUAUCCACAUUCAACCCAAGUAGAUGCCCUUAUAGUAGCUCAUGUAUUAAUUGCCCAGUGAACCAAAUCACAGUCAAUUUCUGUUGUUGUCAUAUACUUGCUGGUAGGUGGAGAAUGAAUUUUCUUGCCCAGCCACAUUGAUAAUAGAGUGUCUGAUGGACUUGUACAUUACUGCUUUUCAAAAUUGCAUCCCCUCCACCUCCAAAGGAAACUUUUCCAACUUUUAUUCUCCCAUAACAAGCAUAUGGGAGACAGGAAAUGGAGAACUGAGGAGCCAGACAUUAGAUAACUCGCCUGUAAUCACACUGUUCACAGCAAGAGGGGCCUGGGCUUGAUCUCCUGCACCCGGAUGAGGGCUCUUCCUGCCAUUUUUAACCCAUAUCUAGCUGAUUGCAUCUGCGCAUGCACUCGAGUGAAAGGAGAAAACAAACGAUCCAAAACGGAUACAUCGUGUAGGCUGCACUGCUGCUUUUAUUUAUGAUGACAGGUGUCUCUGGCAAGGUCAUGUUCACUUUUCUAUGUAUUUAAACUUGGCCAUUUGUUUUUCUGUAUCGCCCCUCUAAGGAUCAGGAUAGGAAGAGUGUGAGCUCCUCGAGGGCAGGAACCCUGUU